GACGAACGCUGGCGGCGUGCUUAACACAUGCAAGUCGAACGGAAAGGCCCUGCUUUUGUGGGGUGCUCGAGUGGCGAACGGGUGAGUAACACGUGAGUAACCUGCCCUUGACUUUGGGAUAACUUCAGGAAACUGGGGCUAAUACCGGAUAGGAGCUCCUGCUGCAUGGUGGGGGUUGGAAAGUUUCGGCGGUUGGGGAUGGACUCGCGGCUUAUCAGCUUGUUGGUGGGGUAGUGGCUUACCAAGGCUUUGACGGGUAGCCGGCCUGAGAGGGUGACCGGCAACAUUGGGACUGGGAUACGGCCCAGACUCCUACGGGAGGCAGCGGUGGGGAAUAUUGCACAAUGGGCGGAAGCCUGAUGCAGAAACGCCGCGUGCGGGAUGACGGCCUUCGGGUUGUAACCGCUUUCGCCUGUGACGAAGCGUGAGUGACGGUAAUGGGUAAAGAAGCACCGGCUAACUACGUG
rnacentral:rRNA from 1 species